CACCCCCGGCCUCCCCUGCGUGCGGAGAAUACCGCCGGCAGCACACGCGCGCACUGCCGCGCCUCUCCGCUCUUUCGGCCGCAGAGCUGGAACCAACGACAGCAAAUGCUGACGGAGAGAGAAGCCGGACGAGCGGCAUGUAGGGGAUUAAUACCUAAGGGACGGGGUUGAAACGAGGAGGCAGAAACGCAGCGGACCCUCGGUAUCCCCGGCAGCUGCCACGGUAGCGGCAGGUGUUCCGCCACGGGCAAGUCAAGCAGGGAACGACGACGGGCUGUCGUGAAGAACUACAGGCUGCCGCCCUCCGACCUCGGCAGGUGAUGCGACGAGAGCAGCCGGGAGAAUCCGAAUGCCGGUUUUGGCAGGUUCUCUGCCUGGUGCUGACGAGGAGCCUUUGACAGCAGGAAGGUUGGCAGCGUCCGUACCUGAACCGUGGAGUACACACCUGCUUCUAGUCUCAGUUGAAGGACGGGUCGCCUAGCUCAGCGUCUAACAAACCCCACAACCGGCGGCCCGGUCGCUAUGGCGCUGCUGUUGCUAGCAGAGCCACCAGGUCUGUGUGAAGCCUUAGGUGCCUGCUUGGAGCAGUAUUUUGGUCUGCUCACCUGGAAGAAGCAGCGAGGCCUAAAAUAAGACUUUGUUGCGGCUACAUGGAGCUGAGUGCCCUCCCUGAAGGCAAAAGCGGAAGGGGUAGGUCGUCGGCUACUCGGACACCUGCCGCAUCAAGGGCGGCAGCGGGAGCUGACCCCUCCCCGACGGACGGACGAACUCUUCGGGUGUCACAAGGCGUUCGUAACGUCGGGGAACGACUGCACGCUGCCGUGAAGAAUUACAGGCUACCGCCCUCGGACCUCUGCAAGUUAUCGCGUGUCAGGAGCAGCCAGGAGGAUCCAGGUGCCAGCGGAAGGGUUCUCCUCCCGGUCCCGACAAGGAGCCUUCGGCCGUAGGAAGGUUGGCCGCGUCCUUACCUGUGCUGAGCGUAGUCUGGCCGUCGAAAGAACGUUGUCGUCGCUGGGAGCUCUCCGCAGAGAUCUGCGUCUGGCCGCCGAAGACGAGCGGAAGGCGAGCCCAGGCUUGCGACGUGGACGCAGCUAAGUCCCGGGGCUGCGUUGCGUGUGAGCAGGGCUGGGACGUGGCAGUGGUUUUGCCCUUGGCGGUUACGGGCAUCACUGGCCGUGGAUGGUUGCCCGCGGAGCCGAGAGGAGCAAAACUAUCAACGGUCUGUGGGGGAGACGAAUUAGCGCUCGCGGCGUUUCAGGUGCGUUCAGUGGUGGCGCAGCCUGGCGCGAUCCAGCGGCACGAUUUGUGCACGUGCUUAUGCUUUAGCGGCGGCUAAGCCCAAGCCUCUAAACAGCAACUGUAACAGGAUUGUGGUGCACGUCUUCCUGUUCUGCUGCCCUUCUAAAUGAAGGGGAAAGUUCCUAAGCUGUGGGCAAAACUCUUUGGCCGCUUCUUACUGUUCUCAUGCUCGUGGGUGCUGUGGCGUUCCUUGCUUAAAGCUAAGGGUUUGCACUUUUUCACUCGAGGUUUAUGUAGUUUGUUGCUGAGGGUCUCUCAUGCUGCGGUUGUGGUUUCUCGCUUUAUUUUGUGGGGCUCCGUCUUUAUCAGGCACAGUUCACAGGUCCCUCAUUUAGCGAUCAGGGUGCAGGAUUGAAAAUGCAACCUCAUCCCGAGACUUUACAGCCUCAGAAACCAUUUGGGUGCCAAGAUGUGCAGUUCGUCACUUCAGGUUCAGGGCUUAGGGCUUCCUGAUGAGGUAGAAAUCCGUAAAUAAUAAACUGUAAGCCCUGAAGCCCGAGCAGCGGGCUGCAAGCCCUCCUUCGGCGUUUGCCAUCUUCCCCUGUGCCAGCACUCUGCUCUGCGCGCUGAGCUGAGGCCUGGGUUCGAUACGGUGCAGGCCCACCACACGGACACUGGCGGCGAGCGAGCCGAGAGCCGUGCGAGCGUUCCGCGGGGCUCUGGUCUGGGGUAGAGCGGAAGCGCAGGCAGGCGAGCUCAGGCGUUGUCCUCUCCGAUUCUCAGAGCUGAAUCCUAUCCCCGAAGGAAAAAGCAGAAGGGGCAGGCCGUCGGCUACGCAGACGCCUGCCGCCUCGGGGGCUGCGGCGGGAGCUGACCCUUCCCCGACGGACGGACGGACGGUCGGACAGACGGACGCUGGCGUGGCGAUGACUCUUCAGGUGUCACGGGGUAAGGGGAAGCGUGCCGGCACCGAGCUCCGUGGCAAGCUCACUCCCAGGUGGCGUUUCUGCCCAGUAAAACAAUAAACAGCCGCUUUAUUCUU